UGACCUCAGCUCAGUC
rnacentral:rRNA from 1 species